rnacentral:misc_RNA from 1 species
AAAGUCGUAACAAGGUUUCCGUAGGUGAACCUGCGGAAGGAUCAUUACAAAUCCACGUCUCUCUUGAGACAAGUUGAAAUGUAGAUUAGAGUGUGAGGAGAUGAUCAAAUGUACCAAGAGAGUUAUCGCUCUCUUGGUAUGCCAUUGCUCUCUUUCUCUCUUUUCUAAACACACCAUUCACAUACGUUGAUCAGUUGUAUUCUACUAGUUAUCCACAACUUAUAACAAUGGAUCUCUAGGCUCUU